CCUCCCACAUUCAUAAAGAGUGUGGAGCGGUAGAGAAAUGCUCUAUCCAAAAUCCUUUGAAUUGCUGGAACCUCGUAAAGCUAACUAAACUACAACAUAUUAUCUUUAUAGAUAACAAUGUGAAUGUUACGAAAGUAGAAAAAAUUAGUUAGAUGGCAUAUGGUUAAAUCCUACGUGCUUUCAAACAAUCGACAAUCAGCAGCGAAGCUCGAGAGAGAACGUUCAACGACUAUCCCAUUGGGGAGUACACUAUAAGCAAAUGAUAGUGGAAGUGGAGGACACCUACGGAGGGUGAUGAUAUAGUCUACGCACAUAUGAAAGUAUGUG
rnacentral:ncRNA from 1 species